AGCGCGCCUACCUUUAUAAAUCAACCCCCUACUGUCUCGUUAAAAGGAAUCAGUUCUGGCUGUUGAUUCCAAGGAGGACUAAGUCACAGUUGAGCAGCAGUUCCCCUGCAGGUAGCAGUAGUUCAGGACUCUUGUUGACCACCAUGUCCUGCACCACAUGACAUCACCCAGCACCAUAACGGCCACUGUGCAGACUAUACUGAUGACAGACUCAUUUCCCCAUGAGGGGAUGAAUUCACGUUCAUCUCAGGGGUCGUGGGCUGGUUGGUAAUCAUCUUGUCCUGCUGCUGUGGAGAGUCCCAGUCUUUAUCAGCAACAACAUAGUGACGGCUCAGAUCUUCUGGGAGAGGCUGUGGAUGAUACUGUGACGUGCAGAGUACUGGACAGAUGCAAGGAACAAGCACAUUUUCUAAAGACUAUUUCUCUGACUGGUGUUUCAUUCACUUUUAAAGAUGACACCUGCAGAACCAUCAUCUCCAUCUUGGUCUCCAUGGUUGCCAGCAUCGCCGGGAUGGGGAAAGUGCAACAGCUGCUCGGCGUGAGGGUUCCGGAACCAAGGCCCAGGUUGCCAUGGCAGCUGGGGCUCUGUUCCUGAUUUGCUGGGGUGCUGAGUCUGGUGUCUCUCAGCUGGACAGCUCAGUGUCAUCAUUGACUUCUAUAAUCUUCUGGAACACCAGGGCUUAAAGAGCUGGGUGCUGCCAUCUUUAUCUGGGGGGGGGGGGGGGGGGCUCUCAUGGCCAGGUACAGACCACAAUGCAGUAAAUCAGACUGUUUUUUUUAAUCCACCAUUUUGAUGGAUGUACUGUUGUCCUGAAACUACUGAAGCAACUAUGUAUUUUAAAUGUCCUUCCAUUCAUUCAGGGGGUCUCCUGGUGUUCUCGUGCCCAUAGAGGGACGGCCCUGGACGGGAUAAGGGUUGGUAUAAUAAACCACCACUAACCCUGCCCGCAGCCAGGGCACGUCUCACGUUUGAUCUGCCCGACCAGACGAGGACCCUAUUCCCUAUGUAGUGCCCGACAUGUUCCCUAGAGAAUAGGAUGGUAUUUGGAAACAUUUCCCUAUGUAGAGACCAGGGUCCUAUUCCCUAUAUAGUGCACUACUUUAGACCAGGGCCCUAUUCCUUAAAUAGUGCAGUACUUUAGACCAGGACCCUAUAGAACCCUAUUCCCUA